CCUACGGGGGGCUGCAGUCGAGAAUCUUCGGCAAUGGGCGCAAGCCUGACCGAGCGACGCCGCGUGUGGGAUGAAGGCCCUUGGGUUGUAAACCACUGUCAGAGGGGAUGAAGUGCCAGAGAGCAAUCUUUCUGGUUUGACAUAGCCUCAGAGGAAGCACGGGCUAAGUUCGUGCCAGCAGCCGCGGUAAUACGAACUGUGCGAACGUUAUUCGGAAUCACUGGGCUUACAGGGUGCGUAGGCGGCUUGUUAAGUAGGGUGUGAAAGCCCCCGGCUCAACCGGGGAAUUGCGCCCUAAACUGGCGAGCUAGAGUGAGAUAGGGGUAUGUGGAACUUCCGGUGGAGCGGUGAAAUGUGUUGAUAUCGGAAGGAACGCCGGUGGCGAAAGCGACAUACUGGAUCUUGUCUGACGCUGAGGCACGAAAGCCAGGGGAGCGAACGGGAUUAGAUACCCUAGUAGUC
rnacentral:rRNA from 1 species